rfam:Myotis davidii contig226814, whole genome shotgun sequence.
GGCAGUUCUCGGGUGCCACACCCCGGAAUCGGGCUCCCUCCUCUCUGGUUCUGGGGUGCGUCACCCGAGAACCCCC